rnacentral:lncRNA from 1 species
GUUUUAUUUUAAUUUUUAUAUCUCAUUUCUCCAUCAUUGUUUCGCUGGUUGGCACCUUAGGCGCCUGAUAUUGACAAAUAUGACUAAAAUUGUGUACGUGCAGGGCAACGGUUGCUGUUUCCGGCAGCAUAGAAAGAACAAUGGAAGAUUCACAAGAACAGAUAAGGAAGGCAUUGUGCUGUAAUUAUCAAAGUAUUAUGUUCCAAAGUGGCAUCAACAAGGGUUAAUGCCUCUCUAUAAUGCAAUGUAUUGUGCAUGAAGAAAAAACAUAGAACA